GAGUUUGAUCAUGGCUCAGAUUGAACGCUGGCGGCAGGCUUAACACAUGCAAGUCGAACGGUAACAGAACUAGCUUGCUAGUUGCUGACGAGUGGCGGACGGGUGAGGAACGCGUAGGGACAUGCCUUUGAGUGGGGGACAACAGUUGGAAACGACUGCUAAUACCGCAUAACGUCUACGGACCAAAGGAGGCGCUUGCGCCCUGCUCCUCUCGCCCAGAGAGUGGCCUAAGCGAGAUUAGCUUGUUGGUGAGGUAAAGGCUCACCAAGGCGACGAUCUCUAGCUGUUCUGAGAGGAAGAUCAGCCACACUGGGACUGAGACACGGCCCAGACUCCUACGGGAGGCAGCAGUGGGGAAUAUUGCACAAUGGGGGAAACCCUGAUGCAGCCAUGCCGCGUGUGUGAUGAAGGCCCUAGGGUCGUAAAACUCUUUCGCCAGAGAUGAUAAUGUCAGUAUCUGGUAAAGAAACCCCGGCUAACUCCGUGCCAGCAGCCGCGGUAAUACGGAGGGGGUUAGCGUUGUUCGGAAUUACUGGGCGUAAAGCGCACGUAGGCGGAUUGAUCAGUUAGAGGUGAAAUCCCAGGGCUCAACCCUGGAACUGCCUUUAAUACUGUCAGUCUAGAGAUCGAGAGAGGUGAGUGGAAUUCCAAAUAUAGAGGUGAAAUUCGUAGAUAUUUGGAGGAACACCAGUGGCGAAGGCGGCUCACUGGCUCGAUACUGACGCUGAGGUGCGAAAGCGUGGGGAGUAAACAGGAUUAGAUACCCUGGUAGUCCACGCCGUAAACGAUCAUCACUCGCUGUUGGCGAUAUACAGUCAGCGGCCAAGCGAAAGUAUUAAGUUGACCGCCUGUGGAGUACGUUCGCAAGGAUGAAACUCAAAGGAAUUGACGGGGGCCCGCACAAGCGGUGGAGCAUGUGGUUUAAUUCGAUGAUACGCGAGGAACCUUACCAGGGCUUAAAUGUAGUCUGAUCGGUGUAGAGAUAUGCUUUCCCUUCGGGGCAGAUUACAAGGUGCUGCAUGGUUGUCGUCAGCUCGUGCCGUGAGGUGUUAGGUUAAGUCCUGCAACGAGCGCAACCCCUAUUCUUAGUUGCCAGCGGUUCGGCCGGGGACUCUAAGAAGACUGCCAGCGGUAAACGGGAGGAAGGUGGGGAUGACGUCAAAUCAUCACGGCCCUUACGUCCAGGGCUACACACGUGCUACAAUGGUGAGUACAGAUGGUUGCUGCUUGGUGACAAGUUUGCUAAUCUAUAAAACUCAUCUCAGUUCGGAUUGAAGUCUGAAACUCGACUUCAUGAAGUUGGAAUCGCUAGUAAUCGCAUAUCAGCCAUGAUGCGGUGAAUACGUUCCCGGGCCUUGUACACACCGCCCGUAAAGCCAUGGAAGUUGGGAGUGCCUAAAGUCGGAAACCAUAUAGGAUCCGCCUAGGGUAAAACCGAUAGCUAGGGCUAAGUCGUAACAAGGUAACC
rnacentral:rRNA from 1 species